rnacentral:rRNA from 1 species
CUUUACACAUGCAAGUCGAACGGCAGCGACGGGCUUCGGCCUGGUGGCGAGUGGCGGAACGGUGAGUAAUGCAGUCGGAACGUACCGUGUAAGUGGGGGAUAACGUAGCGAAAGUUACGCUAAUACCGCAUACGCCUGAGGGGAAGUGGGGACCGCAAGGCCUCACGUUAUACGAGCGGCCGAUGUCGGAUUAGCUAGUUGGUGGGGUAAAGGCCUACCAAGGCGACGAUCCGUAGCGGGUCUGAGAGGAUGAUCCGCCACACUGGGACUGAGACACGGCCCAGACUCCUACGGGAGGCAGCAGUGGGGAAUUUUGGACAAUGGGCGCAAGCCUGAUCCAGCCAUGCCGCGUGAGUGAAGAAGGCCUUCGGGUUGUAAAGCUCUUUCAGGUGGAAAGAAAUCGCACUUUCUAAUACAAGGUGUGGAUGACGGUACCAUCAGAGGAAGGGUCGGCUAACUACGUG